rnacentral:misc_RNA from 1 species
GCUGGCCCUGAUAGAAAAAUUGAUUGGCUAAAAGCUCACCUUGUAGCCAAGAGAUAUACUCAUAUUUUUGGGCUAGAUUAUGGUGAUACUUUUUUACCAGUGGCCAAGAUUGCAUCACAGGGUUACACUCCCUCUCCAAAGGCGAUGUGAGAGAGGAAACACCAAAACAAUUGGUGGAUAUAUACCUAAAUAGCCCAUCUGGCUACGAUAUAGUAGUUGUCCAUACUUCAACAAACCUUCAAGGGAGUAUCAAAUGGGCAGCAGAAACAAAAAACAAACAGUUCCAAG